UACGAAGGGAGCUAGCGUUGUUCGGAAUCACUGGGCGUAAAGCGCACGUAGGCGGAUUUGUCAGUCAGGGGUGAAAUCCCGGGGCUCAACCUCGGAACUGCCUUCGAUACUGGCAAUCUCGAGUCCGGAAGAGGUUGGUGGAACAGCUAGUGUAGAGGUGAAAUUCGUAGAUAUUAGCUAGAACACCAGUGGCGAAGGCGGCCAACUGGUCCGGUACUGACGCUGAGGUGCGAAAGCGUGGGGAGCAAACAGG
rnacentral:rRNA from 1 species